rnacentral:rRNA from 1 species
GACGAACCGUGCGAACGUUGUUCGGAAUCACUGGGCUUAAAGGGCGCGUAGGCGGAUUGCCAAGUCAGGGGUGAAAUCUCUCAGCUCAACUGGGAAAUUGCUUUUGAUGCUGGCAGUCUCGAGUGAGGUAGGGGCAUGCGGAACUCUCGGUGGAGCGGUGAAAUGUGUUGAUAUCGGGAGGAACUCCGGUGGCGAAGGCGACGUGCUGGACCUCAACUGACGCUGAGGCGCGAAAGCUAGGGGAGCAAGCAGG